rnacentral:tRNA from 1 species
GCCAAAGUGGCGGAACUGGUAGACGCGCUGGACUCAAAAUCCAGUGAGUGCAAACUCGUGAGGGUUCGAGUCCCUCCUUUGGUACCA